rnacentral:rRNA from 1 species
CUUGUACACACCGCCCGUCACGCCAUGGGAGCGGGUUCUGCCAGAAGUAGUUAGCCUAACCGCAAGGAGGGCGAUUACCACGGCAGGGUUCGUGACUGGGGUG